rnacentral:rRNA from 1 species
CCUACGGGAGGCAGCAGUGAGGAAUAUUGGUCAAUGGACGAGAGUCUGAACCAGCCAAGUAGCGUGAAGGAUGACUGCCCUAUGGGUUGUAAACUUCUUUUAUAAAGGAAUAAAACAAGGCACGUGUGCCUUUUUGCAUGUACUUUAUGAAUAAGGAUCGGCUAACUCCGUGCCAGCAGCCGCGGUAAUACGGAGGAUCCGAGAGUUAUCCGGAUUUAUUGGGUUUAAAGGGAGCGUAGAUGGGUUGUUAAGUCAGUUGUGAAAGUUUGCGGCUCAACCGUAAAAUUGCAAUUGAUACUGGUAGUCUUGAGUACAGUUGAGGUAAGCGGAAUUCGUGGUGUAGCGGUGAAAUGCUUAGAUAUCACGAAGAACCCCGAUUGCGAAGGCAGCUUACUAAACUGUGACUGACAUUGAUGCUCGAAAGUGUGGGUAUCAAACAGGAUUAGAUACCCGAGUAGUC